rnacentral:rRNA from 1 species
AACGAACGCUGGCGGCAUGCCUAACACAUGCAAGUCGAACGAGACCUUCGUGAGUGGUUGCUCACGCGUGCGUCACGCGUCGGACCCUGGCCUUAUGUUCGGGAUACCUCCCCUUCGUGGGUGCUAAUGUCGGAUAAUUUCCUCUGACCAAGGAUUUAUCGUCUUGGUAUGGGCCCGCGUUGGACUAGCUUGUUGCUAGGGUAAGAGCCGACCAAGGCGACGCUCCUUAGCUGGUCUGAGAGGAUGAUCAGCAACACUGGGACUGAGACACGGCCCAGACUCCUACGGGAGGCAGCAGUGGGGAAUAGUGGACAAUGGGCGAGAGCCUGAUCCAGCAAUGGCGCGUGAGUCAUGAAGGUCUGAGGGUUGUAAAGCUCUUUUACCCGGGAUGAUAAUGACAGUACCGAGAGAAUAAGCACCGGCUAACUCCGUG